CCUACGGGCGGCAGCAGUGGGGAAUAUUGGACAAUGGGGGGAACCCUGAUCCAGCCAUGCCGCGUGUGUGAAGAAGGCCCUCGGGUUGUAAAGCACUUUCAGUGAGGAAGAACGCCUGGUGGUUAAUACCCAUCAGGAAAGACAUCACUCACAGAAGAAGCACCGGCUAACUCCGUGCCAGCAGCCGCGGUAAUACGGAGGGUGCGAGCGUUAAUCGGAAUUACUGGGCGUAAAGCGCGCGUAGGUGGCUUGAUAAGCCGGUUGUGAAAGCCCCGGGCUCAACCUGGGAACGGCAUCCGGAACUGUCCAGCUAGAGUGCAGGAGAGGAAGGUAGAAUUCCCGGUGUAGCGGUGAAAUGCGUAGAGAUCGGGAGGAAUACCAGUGGCGAAGGCGGCCUUCUGGACUGACACUGACACUGAGGUGCGAAAGCGUGGGUAGCAAACAGGAUUAGAUACCCCAGUAGUC
rnacentral:rRNA from 1 species